UGGAGAUCAGUGAUGGAGCAUCUUCUUGUCAGGACGCUGCUGCUCUGAUGCAUUUACAGAGAAGCUCUUCAAUAAAGUGUAUUCCAGCAGAUGUGGAGAUGUUGCUCCAGUGAACACCAGCAGCAACAGAUGAGCAGAAACCAUCCCAACACACUUCGAGGGAAAGCGGAUGUUCAGUCACUCAAGCUCCAGCUGGACACCAUGAGGACCUGACAUUUCCAGAAACGACCCGUGAUGCCCGGAGACCUUGAGCUGCUUUACUGCUGCAGUGAUUCCUCUGACUACAGACAUGAUCACAGACUGCGGGUGAAAACCAGAUGACAGACUGAUGUCAGAUCCAAUGAGGCGGCCAAAAGCCUUCCAGAACCGGGAGGUGAACUGGGACCCUCUAUUGGAGACAAUACCUGGGGGAAGUCAUGAUUCCUGAACACACGCUGAAUUAGGAGCUCUGCUCUUUUCCAGCUUGACAAAGAGGCUGUGUUUAAGUAACUGGGACAGGACCUGGUAAACAUGUUGAAUGUGUUCUUGGUAGUUGCGUGAGAAAAUGAGGAUAUCAUCAAGGUAGACCAAAACGAACUUGUUCAGCAUCUCCUGCAAGACGUCAUUAAACAGUGCCUGGAAGACGGCUGGUGCAUUGACCAGGCCAAUGGGCAUUACCCCGUACUCAUAGUGGACUGUCGGGGUGUUGAAAGCUGUCUUCCACUCAUCCCCUUCUCGAAUCCUGACCAGAUGGUAGGCAUUUUCGGAGAUCUUAUUCAGUGAAUAUGGUGGCACCUUGCAGGAUCUCAAAAGCAGAGGUCAUCAGGGGCAGGGGGCAGUGAUUCUUAAUGGUAAUGCGGUUGAGACCCCUGUAGUCCAUGCAAGGCCUGAGGUCACCAUCCUUCUUCUCAACAAAAGAACAGGUCGAACGGCAAAAAGAAAGAGCAGAAACACAACAGUUAGUUCCCCAACCUUCAACUACACCUCUUGACCAGUCAAUGUUUGGGUUGUGACAAGUUAGCCAUGGAAAUCCAAGAACGAAGGGUAGUUCUGGUACCUGGAUGAAAAAAAACUAUUGGUUCCUUGUGACCCCCAAUUCCAAACUGAAUAAACGAAGUGCAGUGACUAACCUGUCCCGACCCCAGAGGUUCGUCAAGAGCUGUGAUGGUUAGAGGUUUCUGGAGGAGCAUGGAUGGAGUGCCCAAACAUCUGUAAAGUUCCCAGCAGCCCCAGAGUCGAUGAAAGCACCACGCUGGUGAUUCUGGUUGUUGUGGAAGAUGGUGGCUUCGGUAGUAUCUCCAGAGGUUGUAGGGUGAGAGAAGAUAUCUACUCUUGUUCCAGUUCUACCUUUCCUGGACGAGAACUGGCUUUUCCCGACAAUUCAGGACAGUUGGAUCGGAAAUGGCCAGACUUUCCACAGCACAGACAGCGUCGCUCCCUCAUCCGUCGAUCCCUUUCUGUCUGGUUCGACCCAGCUGCAUGGGUUCCUCCAGAUCACUGGGUUUGCAGAGUGGUUCAGAAGUAUUGGAGAAUUCCUGAAGAUGAUACACACUGGUCUCCCAACGUCGUUCCUGUUGACGAUGAUCUUUUCAGAUAGUCACCUCAAUUAAGGGUCUCUAAAAGCUUACUCAUCCUUGAGUUCUGGAGACAAGGCCGGGUGGAAUGUGGCACUUAAAGCUCGCUGGUCCCAACCACUCUCUGAAGGUAGCGUACGAAACUCAAUGGAAACGCCGCCACACUUCGAGUGCCUUGAGAGAGUCUGAAGAUUUAAACAUUGAAGAAUCUCAGUAAGGAUCUGCUCAUGUUGCUGCCCGGAUACGACAGACAGAAUACAAUGCACAUUAGAGGGUGGUGGACUCUCCUCCGCUGGAUUCGUGUUUUGUGGUUCAGUCUUGCUGUAACGGGGCUGUUCUAGGUGAGGACUGAACCCGGGUCUGUUGUGUGCAAAGUCACUGAAUUAAUGGAUUGAGCUAACUCCCCAUUAAAUGAAUCCAAGAGCAGGGAUGAUCAAACGGCAAGGAGUCUUGGGUCUCCAACAAAAGACAAUCUUUACUAAUAGUUAAGAUCAGGAAUAAUGAGUGGUAGUGUUCAGCAGGAGUCUGGUGAGAGGCGCCACCUGCUGACCAGGAGGAACAUAGCAGUCCCGUUAAAAGUUCCUUACAGUCAUGUUUCUCAAAAUGUCUUACAGUUUAUAGUUCUCUGAAAUAGCUCAAAGGUACAUCUCAUGAACCUUCAACUGGAAAGCAUAUAUAGACAGAGGACAACUCAAGAGUUACAAAAUCUGACAGAGGAUUUUCUCAUUUUUAUUUUUGCCUUCUGUGUGUGUGUGUGUGUGUGUGAGUCUGUGUUUGUGUGUGAGUCUGUGUGAGUCUGUGUGUGUGUAAACCUGUGUUUGUGACUGUGUUUUUGGCCCCGUGUGGAGUCGGGGAUAAGGAGCACAAGUCAAGUGUCUGACUGAGAUUCGCUGGAGAUGAUGGUGAUGCUCU